UGUGAAGGAAAGGUGAAAAGGACCCCGGGAGGGGAGUGAAAGAGAACCUGAAACCUUGUGCCUACAAGCACAUAGAGCACAUCAACGUGUGAUAUGGUACUUUUUGUAGAACGGUCCGGCGAGCGAUUGUAUGUUGCGAGCUUAAGGUCUUAAGGACUGGAGGCGUAGCGAGAGCGAGUCUAAACAGGGCGUUUAGUAGCGUGCAAUGGGCCCGAAACCGGGUGACCUACCCAUGAUCAGGCUGAAGUGAAAGUAAAAUUUCAUGGAGGGCCGAACCGACCUCCGUUGAAAAGGCGGCGGAUGAAUUGUGGGUAGCGGAGAAAUUCCAAUCGAACUCGGAGAUAGCUGGUUCUCCCCGAAAUAGCUUUAGGGCUAGCCUCAUAUUAGAUACCCGGAGGUAAAGCACUGAAUGGCCUAGCGCCCGAGAGGGUAGCGAAGCCUAUCAAACUAAGAAUGCCGGAGUAUUGAUGUAUGGGAGUCAGACAGUGUGAGAUAAAUCUCAUUGUCAAAAGGGAAACAGCCCAGAUCUACAGCUAAGGUCCCAAAUUGUAUCUAAGUGGAAAACGAUGUGGAAAUACGCAGACAACCAGGAUGUUGGCUCAGAAGCAGCCACUCAUUUAAAGAGUGCGUAAUAGCUCACUGGUCGAGCGUCUCUGCGCGGAAAAUUUAACGGGGCUAAGAUACAAACCGAAGCUUAGGCUGCAUCGUAAGAUGCGGGGUAGGGGAGCGUUGUGUAAGCGGAGAAACAGUAGCGUAAGCGGCUGUGGAGUUUACAGAAGUGAGAAUGCCGGAAUGAGUAGCGCGAAUGUGGUGAGAAUCCACAUGGCCGGAAACCUCAGGUUUUUGGAGGAAGGUUCGUCCGCUCCAAGUUAGGCGGGAGCUAAGGUCAGGCCGAAAGGCGUAGCCGAUGCACAGACGGUAGAGAUUCCGUCCCCACCGAAAGAUUUAAGCGCAGGGACACUUUUAGAAGGUCGGAGCCAGGUGUUGGUUCUGGUAGAGAUCGAGGGAAAUUUAGUACCGAAGUCCGGCUGGAUAAGAGGCGAGAAAAGCUGCGUGUAUAUCUAAGGUGCCCGUACCGCAAACCGACACAGGUAGGUAGGAAGAAGAUUCUAAGGCCAACGGGAGAAGGGUUGUUAAGGAACUCGGCAAGUUGACCCCGUAACUUCGGAAUAAGGGGUGCUCACGAGAGUGAGCCGCAGAGAAUAGGCCCAGGCAACUGUUUACCAAAAACACAGGUUUGUGCUAAAUCGAAAGAUGACGUAUACGAGCUGACGCCUGCCCGGUGCUGGAAGGUUAAGAGGAGAUGUGCAAGCAUUGAAUCGAAGCCCCAGUGAACGGCGGCCGUAACUAUAACGGUCCUAAGGUAGCGAAAUUCCUUGUCAGGUAAGUUCUGACCCGCAUGAAAGGCGUAAUGAUCUGGGCACUGUCUCAACAGCCCGCCCGGCGAAAUUGUAGUACCGGUGAAGAUGCCGGUUACCCGCGACAAGACGGAAAGACCCCAUGGAGCUUUACUGUAGCCUAAUAUUGGGUUUCGGUGUUGCAUGCACAGGAUAGAUGGGACGCUAGGAAGUGAGUGCUUUGGCAUUCAUGGAGCGGCCGUUGGGAUACCAUCCUUGCGACAUUGGAAUUCUAACCUGCGCCUUUGAAUCAAGGCGGGGGACAUUGUUAGGUGGGCAGUUUGACUGGGGCGGUCGCCUCCUAAAGAGUAGCGGAGGCGUUCAAAGGUUCGUUCGAUCUGGACGGAAACCAGAUGAUUGAGUGCAAACGCAUAAACGAGCCUGACUGCGAGACUGACGGGUCGAGCAGAGACGAAAGUCGGAGUUAGUGAUCCGGUGGUAUGUGAGUGGAAAUGCCAUCGCUCAACGGAUAAAAGUUACCCUGGGGAUAACAGGCUGAUCUCCCCCAAGAGUCCACAUCGACGGGGAGGUUUGGCACCUCGAUGUCGGCUCAUC
rnacentral:rRNA from 1 species